AGACCGUACUUGAGGAGGAGAGAUUAUAUUCUGUGAUACCAAAAGGACUGAUAAAGGCGAAGGCUGUCUUUUAUGUAAUAACUGACGUUGGAGGACGAAGGCAUAGAGAACGAACAGGAUUUGACACCCUAGUAGUCUUUGCAGACAAUGAUGAAUGCCAUGGACUAGAUAAAGCAUUAUGCGAUAAAUUUAGUCUAUAAAUGAAAAUGAAAGCAUUUCACCUCAAGAGUAAUGUGGCAACGCAGGAACUGAAAUCACUAGACCGUUUCUGACACCAGUAGUGAAGUAUGUUAUUUAAUUCGAUGAUCCACGAAAAACCUUACCACAACUUGAAUAUCUAGUAAAUAGAUACAGGAGUUGCACGGCUGUUUUCAGUUAAUGUUGUGAAACUGUGGUUUUUCCAUGAAAUUAACGGAAUCCUUUGCUUUAUUUAUAGAAUGUUUUAUAAAGCAAUCUUUCUUUAUAGCGGAAAAGAUAAGAAGGAAAAAGACAAGUCAUCAUGGCCCUUAUGUUGUGGGCUAUAGACGUGCCACGUAGUCCUUAACAAAGAGAUGCGAAAAUGCGAAUUUUAGCUAAUCUCAAAAAAGAGGAUAUAAAUUAUACAAGGAUUGUAGUCUGAAACUCGACUAUAUGAAUAAGUAAUUACUAGUAAUCGUGAAUCACCAUGUCACAGUGAAUUUAAUCUCGGAUUGGUACUAACCACUCGUCGC
rnacentral:rRNA from 1 species